GCGCCAGUAGCUCAACUGGAUAGAGCAUCGGUCUACGGAACCGAAGGUUUGGGGUUCGAGUCCCUACUGGCGUACUA
rnacentral:tRNA from 1 species